GACAGUGGUAGCUCAGUGGUUAAGACAUGGGACUACUGAUCAGAAGGUUGUGAGGUCAAAUCUCAACGCUGCCU